rnacentral:rRNA from 1 species
GACACGGGAUGCUUACGCCGCGGUGAGUAGGAGGGUCGCAGCGGCGAGCGUUGAAGGUGCCGGGCGCGAGCCCGCCUGGAGCCGCCGCUGGUGCAGAUCUUGGUGGUAGUAGCAAAUACUCAAGUGAGAACCUUGAGGACUGAGGUGGAGAAGGGUUCCAUGUGAACAGCAGUUGAACAUGGGUCAGUCGGUCCUAAGGGAUAGGAGAAAUCCGUUCCGAAGCGGGUGUUUUUUAAAACGUCGUGCCCGCCGGUCGACCGAAAGGGAAUCGGGUUAAUAUUCCCGAACCCGGACGCGGAGAUCGGCCUCUCGGGGCCAAGUGCGGCGACGCAACCGAACUCGGAGAUGUCGACGGGAGUCCCGGGAAGAGUUGUCUUUUCUUUGUAAGGGCUCGGCUCCCUGGAAUCGGCUCGUCCGGAGAUAGGGAUGCUGUUCCCGUAAAGCACCGCGGCUCUUGCGGUGUCCGGAGCGCUCCCGUCGGCCCUUGAAAAUCCGAGGGAG